AACGUAGGAGGCAAGCGUUAUCCGGAUUUACUGGGCGUAAAGCGUGCGCAGGCGGUUUGCUAAGACAGGUGUGAAAUCCCCGGGCUUAACCUGGGAACUGCGCUUGUAACUGGCAAGCUUGAGUGUGGCAGAGGGGGGUGGAAUUCCACGUGUAGCAGUGAAAUGCGUAGAUAUCAGGAGGAACACCGGUGGUGUAGACGGCUUUCUGGACCGUAACUGACGCUGAUACACGAAAGCGUGGGUAGCAAACAGG
rnacentral:rRNA from 1 species